rnacentral:lncRNA from 1 species
AAAUUCCAUGUUUGGAAUCCAUUGUUAAUAUUGUCAUCAGGCGCGAUGUAUAUUCAAAAUGCAUUCCUGGAAAACAACGUUGAGAGCCAUAGAGCCCUUUGAUGAGCAGGAAGAAAGUGUAACCUUGGGUUAAAAUUCUUUUUAUUUCUUUUUGCAAUCCAAAUUACUUGAACCCUAUAAGAUGUGGAAAAAUGACUAUGAACAGCAGAUGAAUAAUGAUUGACCGUGAACAAAUAUUAACGUAUGUUAGGCACCAAUACUGCCC